rfam:Meleagris gallopavo isolate NT-WF06-2002-E0010 breed Aviagen turkey brand Nicholas breeding stock chromosome 2, whole genome shotgun sequence.
UAAAAGGUUCUUGCUCUCUAGUGAGAUCUGAGACAGGCUAAGAACCACAUUUAUUAAAAUAAAAAUAUAUU